CGCAACCGGAGUCCGCGCCGGUUUCCAGUUUCGCCUUCUCUCUCUUUCAGGAAGGCCCUUUUAAAAUUUCAUUUUAUUUUUGUUUUUUUUAACAGGAGGCUUAAAGAACCCCCCUCACCCUCGCCCUCCUCGUUCAGGUGGAACCGACCACUUUUCACCUGUUGGUGGCUAAAGUGUCUCCAAGGACGCGGUUGUCGGAAACAGCCAGGCAGUGGGACCUCAAGGUCAGAGGGUGGACUCUGGAUCUAGAGUCUUUGAGUUCCAGUGUUCCCAUUUACCAGCUACAUCACUUUGGGCAAGGUAAUUACUCGCUGUUUCUCACUGCUUUCAUCCAUAAAGUUGGGAAUAUAAUAGUUCAUACCAUUUUUUAAUUGAUUAAUUAAUUAAUUUUUUUAAA
rnacentral:lncRNA from 12 species